GCCCUCGUUAAUGUUAUUGGUUCCAGCUGUGCAUUUCCUGCUGUGCGACAAGUCAAAAAUGUCCACUGUUGAAAAGGUCUGCGGUUUGGGAAUAAUGAAGUGAUGGCAGCAGCAACUAACUGUUCUCAGAGCACUACUAAAGGGACUUGACUCUGCCUGCCCAGCACAAAACAGCAGAACCAGAUAUUAUAUACCAAAACAGAGCUAAAAGCUCGAUAACAGCAGACCUGUGGGUGGAGUGUUAUUUACGGCUGGUAAGAAAUGGGUCAAUCUGACCGGAUUCAAGGCAGGACUGACUGUGUUCACAAACAAACAAGGUGGCUAACAGCUUUUUAUAGACGGUCAUGGAAGUCAGCCAGCAGACUCCAACCGCUCCCUUUGUGACUGGGUGACACCAGUCCAGUAAUCCAGUGUCCUCUCCACCCACAAUACACGGAUAUAUAAGUGCAGGGAACAACUAGCAGAACUUCCAUGGCGGACCAGAUUUGGCCCAUGUCCCAUCCACUAACAUGGAAGAGGCUGGCUUUCUGACCGAUACUGCAGCCAGCCACCAGGGGGCGAUCCAGAUGUUUUGGCUUCGCUUUUGGGGAGCUGUCACGUCGUCCAUCUUCAUAUACAGUCUAUACUAUACAAACAUGAUGAAAGUUACUUGACAGUGAACCUGAGACGCCAUCACAUCAGUUUGAGCCUGGAUUCUGGAGAUUAUGUGGAAACAAAGCUCAGUGUUGAGCCUUUGAUCCUUUUUAUGAAGCCUCAACAGGUUCCUGAAGUAAGGGUAGCUCAAUGACUGAUUUCUGUGCUUCGUCCCAGCUGUUUGUGUUUCAGAGAAAACAAACAGGAUCCUCAGGACACCAGCAGUAUUGGGGAAAUAUAUAAAUGCAUCUAAUCAAAGAAACGUUAUAAAUUCCCAUCACAUUCCGUACAAAUUCCCAGUCUGAGUCUUGUGUUGAUUUAGUUUGUGAUGCAAUGUCCUGCAUUCACACUCCAGAUGUUUUAGGUUAACUGUACCACCACCACCAGGUUAGUCAGGAAGAUAGCCUAUGUCUUUAUAUGGGUUUUUACUCAGGCUGGAUUACCGAAGAGGCAAUCGGCCCCAGAACACCAGGGGCCAUGAAAGCCGCAGUUCACUGUAUGUUAAAGGGACUGUUAACUUCUUACACGUAUAAAUCACCCAGGUCGGU